GUUCGAUUCCGGAGAGGGAGCCUGAGAAACGGCUACCACAUCUAAGGAAGGCAGCAGGCGCGCAAAUUACCCAAUCCUGACUCAGGGAGGUAGUGACAAGAAAUAACAACACUGGAAAUUGUAUUUCUAGUGAUUGGAAUGAUGGGAAUCCAAACCCCUUUCAGAGUAACAAUUGGAGGGCAAGUCUGGUGCCAGCAGCCGCGGUAAUUCCAGCUCCAAUAGCGUAUAUUAAAGUUGUUGCAGUUAAAAAGCUCGUAGUUGGAUAUCUGCUGGAAGCAAUCAGUCCGCCCUUUUCGUAAGGGUGUGCACUUGAUGAAUUCUGGCAUGAUUUCAUCCUAAUAAUAAUAUAUUAUUAUAUUAGGUUGAUUCCUAGUAUAAUAAUAUUUAUUAUUAUGGGGAUGACAGUUACUUUGAGAAAAUUAGAGUGUUUGAAGCAGGCUUUUGUUGCCUUGAAUACUGCAGCAUGGAAUAACAAUAUAGGAUUUCGGUUCUAUUAUUUUGUUGGUUUUUUGUAG
rnacentral:rRNA from 1 species